rnacentral:rRNA from 1 species
UACGAAGGGGGCUAGCGUUGCUCGGAAUCACUGGGCGUAAAGCGCACGUAGGCGGAUUCCUAAGUCGGGGGUGAAAUCCUGGAGCUCAACUCCAGAACUGCCUUCGAUACUGUAGAGCUUGAGUUCGGGAGAGGUGAGUGGAACUGCGAGUGUAGAGGUGAAAUUCGUAGAUAUUCGCAAGAACACCAGUGGCGAAGGCGGCUCACUGGCCCGAUACUGACGCUGAGGUGCGAAAGCGUGGGGAGCAAACAGG